AUUGAACGCUGGCGGCAGGCUUAACACAUGCAAGUCGAGCGAGCGGCGGACUGGUGCGUAAUUUCUGGGAAACUGCCUGAUGCAGGUGGAUAACUACUGGAAACGGUAGCUAAUCCCGCAUACCAUCAGAUGUGCCCAGAUGGGAUUCGCUAGUAGGUGGGGUAAUGGCUCACCUAGGCGACGAUCCCUAGCUGGUCUGAGAGGAUGACCAGCCACACUGGAACUGAGACACGGUCCAGACUUCUACGGGAGGCAGCAGUGGGGAAUAGUGCAAAAUGGGCGCAAGCCUGGUGAACGCAUGCCGCGUAUGUGAGACAGGCCGUCGGAUUAUGGCGCACGAUCAGCGAGGCAAGGGUAAUCGCAGAAGAAGCACCGGUUAACGCCGUGCCAGCAGCCGCGGUAAUUC
rnacentral:rRNA from 1 species